GACGAACGCUGGCGGCGUGCCUAAUACAUGCAAGUCGAGCGGAUGAUGGAGGAGCUUGCUCCUCCUGAUUCAGCGGCGGACGGGUGAGUAACGCGUGGGCAACCUGCCCUGUAGAUUGGGAUAACUCCGGGAAACCGGGGCUAAUACCGAAUAACCCACCGGACCUCAUGGUCUGGUGUUGAAAGACGGCAUCUCGCUGUCACUACAGGAUGGGCCCGCGGCGCAUUAGCUAGUUGGUGAGGUAACGGCUCACCAAGGCCACGAGGCGUAGCCGACCUGGGAGGGUGAUCGGCCACACGAGGACUGAGACACGGCCCAGACUCCUACGGGAGGCAGCAUUAGGUAAUCUUCCACAAUGGACGAAAGUCUGAUGGAGCAACGCCGCGUGAGUGAAGAAGGUUCUCGGAUCGUAAAACUCUGUUGUGAGGGAAGAACAAGUACCGGAGUAACUGCCGGUACCUUGACGGUACCUCAUUAGAAAGCCACGGCUAACUACGUGCCAGCCGCCGCGGUAACAC
rnacentral:rRNA from 1 species